rnacentral:rRNA from 1 species
UACGUAGGGACCAAGCGUUGUUCGGAUUUACUGGGCGUAAAGGGCGCGUAGGCGGCGUGACAAGUCACUUGUGAAAUCUCUGGGCUUAACCCAGAACGGCCAAGUGAAACUGUUGUGCUAGAGUGCAGAAGGGGCAAUCGGAAUUCUCGGUGUAGCGGUGAAAUGCGUAGAUAUCGAGAGGGAACACCAGAGGUGAAGACGGGUUGCUGGGCUGACACUGACGCUGGAGGCGACGAAAGCCAGGGGAGCAAACGGG